AGAAUCAACGCUGGCGGCGCGCCUAACACAUGCAAGUCGAACGAGAAAGCCGCAAGGCAAGUAAAGUGGCGUACGGGUGAGUAACACGUGGAUGAUCUGCCUUUUAGUGGGGAAUACCGUUGGGAAACCGACGACAAUACCGCAUAAUCCCGAGAGGGGAAAGCGUCUUUACGCAAGUAGAGCCGCGCUGAAAGAGGAGUCCGCGGUCGAUUAGUUAGUUGGCGGGGUAAGAGCCCACCAAGACUGUGAUCGAUAGCCGGCCUGAGAGGGCACACGGCCACACUGGCACUGAAACACGGGCCAGACUCCUACGGGAGGCAGCAGUGGGGAAUCUUGCACAAUGGGGGAAACCCUGAUGCAGCGACGCCGCGUGAGCGAUGAAGCCCUUCGGGGUGUAAAGCUCUUUCGUCAGGGAAGAUAGUGACGGUACCUGGAGAAGCAGCUGCGGCUAACUACGCGCCAGCAGCCGCGGU
rnacentral:rRNA from 1 species